rnacentral:miRNA from 1 species
CUUCCAGCCGGCGAGGUACAAGUACCUCGUCGACCGGAAGGGUCUCCUUCCAGCCGGCGAGGUACAAGUACCUCGUCGACUGGAAGGACACCCUUCCGGUCGACGAGGUACAAGUACCUCGCGGCUGGAAG